rnacentral:rRNA from 1 species
CUUUGAACGUAGUAAAAUUUCAAUUCGUUCUGAAAGCCUUCCCACCGUGGCCGGCCAAAACCGCCAUAUCUUCUUAAGAUCGACCUCGGAUCAGGUAGGGAUACCCGCUGAACUUAA